rnacentral:rRNA from 1 species
GACGAACGCUGGCGGUGUGCUUAACACAUGCAAGUCGAACGGAAAGGCCCUGCUUUUGUGGGGUGCUCGAGUGGCGAACGGGUGAGUAACACGUGAGUAACCUGCCCUUGACUUUGGGAUAACUUCAGGAAACUGGGGCUAAUACCGGAUAGGAGCUCCUGCUGCAUGGUGGGGGUUGGAAAUUUUCGGCGGUUGGGGAUGGACUCGCGGCUUAUCAGCUUGUUGGUGGGGUAGUGGCUUACCAAGGCUUUGACGGGUAGCCGGCCUGAGAGGGUUACCGGACACAUUGGGACUGAGAUACGGCCCAGACGCCAACGGGAGGCAGCAGUGGGGAAUAUUGCACAAUGGGCGGAAGCAUGAUGCAGCAACGCCGCGUGCGGGAUGACGGCCUUCGGGUUGUAAACCGAUUUCGCCUGUGACGAAGCGUGAGUGACGGUAAUGGGUAAAGAAGCACCGGCUAACUACGUG